rnacentral:SRP_RNA from 1 species
GCUGAGUGUGGUGGUGCAUGCCUGUAAUCCCAGCUACAUGGGAGGCUGAGGCAGGAGAAUUACUUGAACCCAGGAGUCAGAGGCUGCAGUGAGCUGAGAUCAUGUCACUGCACUCCAGCCUGGGUGAUAGAUUGAGACUAUCUCAAAAAAAGAAGAAAAGAAAAGAUUCUCAGGAUGUCAGUGUGUACUACUUUCUGUUUUUAUUUUUGUUUUUUGUUUUUGAGACAGUCUUGUUCUGUCACCCAGGCUGGAGUGCAGUGGUGCUAUCUCAGCUCACUGCAACCUCCGCCUCCUGGGUUCAAGCAAUUCUCUUGCCUCAG